CCGGGCCGAGCCGAGCCGAGCCGCGCCGCAGCAUGGAGGAGGAGGCGGCGGCGGCGGCGCCGCGCGUGGGGUCGUGGCUGCCGGUGCUGGUGGAGCAGAUGGUGAACGACACGCUGGUGGUGACGCUGAGCUGCGGCGAGCGCCGCUUCACCGGCGUCCUGCUCGACUGCACCAAGAAAUCUGGAUUGUUUUGUCUUCCGUCUUCCCUUCCAAAGCAAGAGGAGCCUCCUGCUAACGCUUGCACUAACUGGACUCCUGACAGCCAGGAUCCUGUGCAGGGUGAGACUGAGUCACAGCCUGCUGUUGAAAAGCCUCCCAAAGGAAACAGCGAUGAGCAAGUACCGCCCCUUCUGCCUCCCCCACUGCCCGGCAACCUUCCUCCUUACCCUCCUUAUUUUGAGGGAGCUCCUUUUCCUCGUCCACUGUGGCUUCGGCAUACGUAUAACCAAUGGGUUCCUCAGCCACCACCACGGACUAUAAAGAGGACAAGGAGACGUUUGUCACGGAAUAGAGACCCAGGAAGGCUUAUCAUGAGCACUAUCAGACUAAGACCAAGACAGGUGCUCUGUGAAAAGUGUAAAAACACUCUGAACCCCGAGGAUGCAAACACAGCUAGGCAAAAUGCUAAAACAAGGAGGAAGCUGAGCAUUCAGGACAAAGAGCAAAAAAAGCACAGUGACUCUGACUACGCUGAGAAAAGAAACAAAAGAGAAAAGAGAGAGGAAGACAAGUUUUCUGGGGAACUCGUACAUCGAACACCAGUUAUAAAAAUAUCCUACAGUACUCCACAAGGGAAAGGUGAAGUUGUAAAAAUUCCUUCCCGGGUUCAUGGUUCAGUUAAACCAUUUUGUUCACAGCGAAUAUUGCAAAACGGAGAGGAGGACCAAGAAGAGACUAGAGACUCUGAACGAUGUCGAGAAACCAAAUGUUUAAUGGACAAGUCAGCAGGCAGCCAGCUUGCUUCCAUUCCAAAGCUGAAGCUCACACGGCCUGUGCAUUCCAGUGCAGAUGUUCCACCUCCAAAGAUCCGACUGAAGCCCCAUCGAAUAAAUGAUGGUCAGAGUGUUUCAAUUUAUAAAGCAGAACUUAUUGAUGAGAUAAAUGUCCUUCAGAACAGCAGAGAGUCCAAUCCUGGUGCAUUCUACAAUGAUGAAUCUACAGACAGAAACUUAGCUGAGAUAUCUUCAGGGAGUUCAGGUGAAGAUGAUGACUUUAAAAGAUUUCCCCAGGGUAAAGAUGGACAUGAUAACUUGGCUUUCCUUAUGAAUUAUCGUAAAAGAAAAGCAGAUUCUUCUAGUUUAUCCGUGUGUAGUAAUGACAGUCUAGAUGAAUCGAAGUCUUCUAGUUCAGAAGUAACAUCACCAGAAAUGUGUGACUUUAUGCCUGGUGAUGAUGCAUCUGUCUCUUCAUCUUCAAAAGAUGAGCGUAAAAUUGUGCCACCAUUAACAGUUAGACUACAUACGCAAAGUGUGUCUAAAUGUGUCACUGAAGAUGGAAGAACUGUUUCGGUGGGGGAUAUUGUUUGGGGUAAAAUUCAUGGUUUUCCAUGGUGGCCAGCACGUGUUCUUGACAUAAACCUUAGCCAGAAGGAAAAUGGAGAACCUUCAUGGCGAGAAGCUAAAGUAUCAUGGUUUGGUUCUCCAACGACUUCGUUGUUGUCUGUUUCAAAACUCUCUCCUUUCUCUGAAUUUUUCAAACUGAGAUUUAAUCGCAAGAAGAAAGGGCUAUAUCGGAAAGCUAUCACAGAAGCUGCAAAGGCAGUAGAGCAUCUGACUCCAGAAAUAAGAGAUCUCUUAACACAGUUUGAAACAUAACUUUGCCUCCUGUAUCAGAAGCCUGUGCGCUGUCAGAAAUUGUGUCCUGAAGAGCAGUGAGAGCCAGGAUGUGGCCUAAUCUCUUCUCAAGGCUGUCUGAAAUGGCAAAACCCACCCAAGAGACGCAGUCCAACAGGUAUAUGAUGCAGUGUACUGAGCAUGCUUCUAGUCUGGAGCAACCAGCUGCACGGACUGGAUCCUGCCCUUCUGGUCUUCUGGAUCACAUGUGGUUUGGAGAAGAAAUGGCUCAUGGGGCCACUGUUCUGGUCUGCCUCGUGGGCUGCAGCGUAACACAAAGGGGAAUGGGGGAAGAGAUGCAUGCGUCCUAUGGCUUCCCUGUGUCAGCUCCAGGGAGAGCACCACGCAGCUCAUUCAGUCAACCAACACCAAGCAUCAGACUUAAUUACUGUUUUGCAAAGUCCUCCUGCAAGCAGCUUGGAGUCAGCAUCUGUGCAUACCAAAUGCAAAGCAGGAGAGCAAGUCUAAAGGCAAACCUGUGCGCCCUGGCACUGGGUGUCUGGAGCUACAUGUCUGUUUGGAGAGGAAUGACCAAGGAUUUUAGGCAAUAACAGAGCAUUGUUAAUACCACAUAAAGCUGCUUGGCACGUUAGGCUAGAUGAUGUGAUGGGAUGACACAAUAUUUUCCAUGUUAAUGCUCAGGCAUGGAAGCCUCCUCAUGUUUUGAUGUGUGUGUAAAAGCACCCGUGGCUGACACAGGGAUCAACAGGAAGGGCGUCCCCUCCGCUCCGGAGCAGCAGGAGCGUGGGGUCCUGCCGCUGCCGGCGGAGCCCGUCCGGCUCGAGGGGGCGGGGGCGGCAGGAAGCCCUUGGCGCUCCGCUCCGUGGAGAGGCAGCUCGGGCCGCGGGUCCGCCCGCGGCCGGCCCCUCGGGCCGGCGUCGCCGUGAACGUGGCUCGCGUCGCCUCGGCCAACGCGCCAGAAACUCCCUGCAGCGUCCCGCGUCGGCCGCCUCGCGUUCGCUGUGUGGUCGUCUGUUCGGUCGCUGGGUAGUGAUUUUUAGAAGGUGGCGGUAGACAGCUUUGCGGUAGAGCUUCCUGCUACUGUUCCUGCACUGGAUCUUAGAGCUCAAGAAUUGCACCAUUUUGGGACCGGGAUAGUAUUUUGGUCUUCUGAAUACCUGGUCUUUGGAGGUGGCUUUUAACUUCUGCAUGACCUUUGAAUCCUGAAAAGGCUAGAAAUAACCCCGUUGGAAGAAAGCUGUGUGUUUGUCUGAGAAGCACAGUAACUAUGUGGUGGUGGUGACUUUUUCCUUCUUUCCCUCAGACACAUGUGCUUGUUUCUUGGUCUUCACCUUCAGUUAAUCUGGUAAUGUAUAUUCCUGGUGGUAGGGCAGCAGUUAGUACCUGUGAGCACAGUUGUUGUGUGCUUCAUUCUCUGCAAACCCUGGCAAAUUCAGGGCCUCAUUUGAUGUUACACCUGACCCCUUGCACCUGGGUACUUUCAGAAAAGCAAAGGGGCUCGGGGCACUGGCUGUGCCCUGGAGGAGGUGCCGGUGAUGUGCUGCAUGUGCCUGAUUUGAAAUGUGAAGGAUGUGAAGGACCCUGGGUGGGUCUGCAGGGAUGCUGUGAGGAGGAUCCCCCUGUGCAAAUCCAGGCAGGAUGCAGUCACCUCAAAAGAUAGCUCGGCCUUUUUUGCACUGUGCUGCGGCUGUUAAGUCUGAAUUUGUGAAUGGUUUUAUUUAAUCCAAAACAGCAUUUUUUUUUUAUUAUGAAUAAGCUCCUGCCUUCAGGAGAACUUUCUUGGCUCUGCUUUUGAUGUACAGUUUAGCAUAGAGGCUGCUAGAUCGUGCCAUUGUCCUGAAUU